AGGGCAUUCAGGGCCUAUGUCAAGAAUCACAAAGGAAGGCAUGAUCCAGGUCUGGGGAGCCACUUGCGUUUCAAAUCUCUAUGUUCGUUUCCCAAGCAAAGGCCAGGGAGUCUGCAUUGUGGAUACUAUGUAUGUGCUUUCAUCAGUAACACAAAAGGCUACAGGAGACACCCUGAAUUGUGGAAAGAAGAAAAAGGACUAAAAAGGGAUGUCUACAGGGAUGAUGACCUCUUAGAGAUUGUUGGUGACCUUUGCAACUUUAUAAUGGACCAUGUUG